rnacentral:rRNA from 2 species
UGGGGAAUAUUGCACAAUGGGGGAAACCCUGAUGCAGCAACGCCGCGUGAGUGAUGACGGCCUUCGGGUUGUAAAGCUCUGUCUUCAGGGACGAUAAUGACGGUACCUGAGGAGGAAGCCACGGCUAACUACGUGCCAGCAGCCGCGGUAAUACGUAGGUGGCGAGCGUUGUCCGGAUUUACUGGGCGUAAAGGGAGCGUAGGCGGACUUUUAAGUGAGAUGUGAAAUACCCGGGCUCAACUUGGGUGCUGCAUUUCAAACUGGAAGUCUAGAGUGCAGGAGAGGAGAAUGGAAUUCCUAGUGUAGCGGUGAAAUGCGUAGAGAUUAGGAAGAACACCAGUGGCGAAGGCGAUUCUCUGGACUGUAACUGACGCUGAGGCUCGAAAGCGUGGGGAGCAAACA